rnacentral:misc_RNA from 1 species
UUUGAGUGAGGGAUAGAAGUGAAAAGUCCAUCUCGUCUUUUGACGAGACGAGGACUUGCAACAGAUAGCCCGGUUCGCC